rnacentral:rRNA from 1 species
GUGGGGAAUAUUCCGCAAUGGACGAAAGUCUGACGGAGCAACGCCGCGUGAGUGAUGAAGGUUUUCGGACUGUAAAGCUCUGUUGUUUAGGACGAAAGUGCCUGUUGCAAAUAGUUACAGGUAUUGACGGUACUGAACGAGGAAGCCACGGCUAACUACGUGCCAGCAGCCGCGGUAAUACGUAGGUGGCAAGCGUUGUCCGGAAUUAUUGGGCGUAAAGAGCAUGUAGGCGGGAAUCUAAGUCUGUUGUGAAAAUGCGGGGCUUAACCCCGUAUUGCGAUGGAAACUGGGUUUCUUGAGUGCAGGAGAGGAAAGGGGAAUUCCCAGUGUAGCGGUGAAAUGCGUAGAUAUUGGGAGGAACACCAGUGGCGAAGGCGCCUUUCUGGACUGUGUCUGACGCUGAGAUGCGAAAGCCAGGGUAGCGAACGGGAUUAGAAACCCGAGUAGUCC